CACGGGGGGGGCAAGCGUUGUUCGGAAUCACUGGGCGUAAAGGGCGUGUAGGCGGUCAGGUAAGUGGGAUGUGAAAUGCCCCGGCUCACCCGGGGACCGGCAUCCCAUACUGCUUGGCUUGAGUACGGGAGAGGAUGUGGGAAUUCCUGGUGCAGCGGUGAAAUGCGUAGAUAUCAGGAGGAACACCGGUGGCGAAGGCGCACAUCUGGCCCGAUACUGACGCUGAGGCGCGAAAGCUAGGGGAGCAAACGGG
rnacentral:rRNA from 1 species